rnacentral:lncRNA from 1 species
UUUGAUUUCCUUUCUUAUUAUUUGUAUCCCCUCUAUUUGUCUUGCCAGUUGCUCUGGCUAAUACUUCCAUUACUAUAUUGAAUAGGAGUUGUGGGAGUGUACAUUCUUAUUCCAGGAAAUGCUUUCAGAUUUUCCCCAUUUAAUGUGAUGUUGGCUGUGGACCUGUAAUAUAUAUCCUUUAUUACAUUUAAAAAUGUUCCUUCUAUACUUAAUUGGUUGAGUUUUGGUUGUGAAGGGAUGUUGAACUUUAUCAAUUAUUUUCAUUCAUCUGUUGAGAAUAUCAUAUGAUUUUUGUCCUAAACUCUACUUAUAUGAUGAGUUAAAUUUAUUGAUUUGCACAUUGAACCAUCCUUGCAUCCCUGGAAUGAAACCAACUUAAUCAUAAUGUACAAUCUUCUUAAUGUGUUUUUGAGUAUGAUUUGCUAACAUUUCAUUGGGGAUUUUUGUAUAUAUGUUCAUCAAGGAUAUGGUCUGUAGUUUUCAUUCUUGAUGUGUCCUUAUCUGGUUUUGGUAUCAGGGUGAUACUGGCUUCAUAGAAUGCAUUUGGAAGUGUUCAUACACGCUCCUUUCUUGUUUCAUGGAAUAAUUUGAGGAGCGGGAGCAUUAGUUCUUCUUUAAAGGUCUGAUAAAAUUCAGCUGGCCCUGGAUUUCUUUGCUGGAGGGUCUUUGUUUUCUCUUUUUAUUACUGCUUCAAUCUCAUUGCUUGCUACUGGUCUGUUCAGGUUUACCAUACCCUCUCAGUUCAAUUUUGUUAGGUCAUUAUGUAUCUAGAAACUUGUCCAUUUCUUCUAGAUUUUCCAAUUUACUAGAGGAUGAACUUUAAAAAUAGUCUCUAAUGAUUCUCUGGAUUUCAGUGAUAUCUGUGGUGCUAUCUCCUUUUUCAUCUCUAAUUUUAUUAAUUUGGGUCUUUCUUUUGGUUAGUCUGGACAAGGUUUUAUCAAUUUGUUUCUUUUCAAAGAAAACUGUUUUCUUUGCUCUUUUAUAUACUUUAUUCUCAAUUUCAUUACUUUUAGCUCUGAUCUUAAUUAUUUCCUGUCUUCUACUGAUUUUGCAGUUAGUCUUUAAAAAUUCUAACAUUCCAUAUGUUCAGUCAUGGAGAGGUUCUUCUUUUGGUCUUAUAUUUUUGGGGUUCUAAAUACCUCCUGUAUUUGUAUAUCCAUCUCAUUCCCAAGGCUUGGAAAUUUUUCUGUUAUUUCACUGAACAAUUAAUCAAUGCCAUUAGUACAAAUUUCUAUUUCUUCCUUGAUAAUGAUUCUAAGAUUGGACUCUAAAUGUCCCAGAAUUUUGUAUAUUCUGAUCAUAGUUUAUUGUUAUUUUUUUUCUUUAAUACUGUCUGAAUAUGCAAGACUGGCUACUCUGUCCUUAAGCUCUGAGAUACUAUCUUCUACUUGAUCUAAGCUAUUCAACUGAAUAUAUUACUGUUUUUCAUUUCCAAGAUUUCCUUGGUUCUUUUUCAGAAUCUCUUUUGAAAUAUUUUUUUCACAGCCUGUAUUUUUCCUUUUGAUCAUUUUAGAUCUUUGUUUAAUUAACUAAUCAUUUGAACAAUCAGGUUUCUGAAUUUUUUUUGGCCAGAAUUUCAUUCACUUUAAUAUUUGUGGAUUCAGUUGUUGGGAAGUUACAAACUUUUGGCAGUAUCUGGUCUGUUUUUCUCAGUAUGUUCUUAUAUUUGUGCAUCUAUUGGGAUGGAUUCUUCUUCCUCUUUUAUGUGAGGGUCCUUAAGUUGGUAAUUAUCUCUUUCUAAUAACCAAACCAAGUUUCAAUAAUCAGUGCCACUUUUGAGAGAAGAGACUGACAAUUUUAAGAACAAUCCAUAUAUCAACAUAUGCUAAAAAAGUUCUUACUAAUGUUAUCUACUAAUCUGUUAACCAAAGAGAAAAGUAGGUGAGAAGUAAUAUAGAGUGAAAAGAUUAAGCAUUAAUGAUAACAUACUAAAUUGAAUUGGAAGAAGGGAUAAAAAGCAGAAAAAGAGAGAAAGGAAAAAAUGAGAGAGGAAAAGAAAUAAAAUAAGAAGAGAAAGAAGUAUAAAGAAUAGGAGAAGGGAAUGAAGGAAGAAGAAAGGAGGUGUCAAGAGAGGAUUCUAUUAAUUGACUAAAUGAGUAAAAUUAAAACUAAAAUCACAAAAUGGGAAGACACUAGAAACCAGUUUUCAUUGAGCAGGUGAAGCAAUAACAGUCAUGAACAGAUUGUUUUCUUCUUGCUGAGGCAUUCUAAAUGGAAACAUUUUGUUCUGAGCUUCCAAUUUUAGAAUCUUCCUGCUUUGAGGAAGUUUGUGUCACAGAAAUAUCAUGCCAUUUCUUUGUUCUCAGCACUAACCCAAACUGGCAGGGAGUCUGUAUGCUGAGUUCCUCUCCCUUUUCCCUUGGCAGCAUCUACUGCGGAAUGUUGUCCAUUUCAGAGCUGGCUUCUGAAAUGGCUUUGUUAUUGACUGGGGUUGGGUUGCCUGUCAGGAUCACUGGCCAGCCCUUUCACUCAUGUAGUCUGUGGACUGACCUGGACUGUACCGCACGCCUCAUGUGCUGAGUGGAGGUGUGUCAGUCCAGACCCUCUGGGUGUUGGGGAGGAUGGCAUGGGGGUCUGUGGUAGGAUGUUGUAGGGUCGCUACUUUCCACCUGAUCCAUCUCAGUUUUACCCUGUGCUCCCAAUCACUGAGUUCAGACUUUCAAUUUUAAGUGAAAGCAUCCUUUGCUCUUAGAUCCCCAAAACAAGUAACAGAGGCGGGAGAGAAAAGGUGAACUGUAGGGAUUUAUAGACUAAUGCUCAGGAAGUCCAAACAAAGUCUUUAAGCUGUCACUAGUUUCCCACUUUCACUAACUUCACUGGAGAGUUCUAGGACUUUCUCCCAAGCCAGUUUACCUCACUGUAUCUGAGCUUAUGUUCUGCUCAGACUGAAUUUGUUGGACCUUGUGGUGCCUGUUUUUCUUAAACUUAGUGGGAGAAUUUCCUUGGGCUGGUUAGAAGGGAGCUUUUCUUCCUGUACUGAGCUCCAGUGCACCAAGUACUGCUGUAGUCUAUUCUUUUUAUUUAUUUUAUUCUAGAAACCAGUAUUUUUUUGGUUUUCACUUGGUUGCUAGCUCUCAGUCGUCACUGCAGAACUGUUAAUUCCUUCUUUGGAAGCAGCUAAGAUACUGUGGGUUUCCCUAAUGCAUCACUGUUUCAGCCUCACUGAUUAUUUUUUGUAUUUUUACUCUAUUUCAUUUAGUUCUGAUCUUUGUUAUUUCCUUUUUAGUUUUGGUUUCCUUCUUAUUUUAUAGUUCCAUGUGCCUUAUAAAAAAAUGUCAAAUUUUAUUACAAACUUUUUCUGUGCCAACUGACAUUGUAAUAUGGAUUUUGUUUAUUUAUGUUAAUCUUUUAAAUAGUAAGCCAACUGGUAUUCCUAUAAUAAUGCCAUUUGGACAUGAGGUAUUAUCUUUUUUUUUUGAAUCAUCUCUUUUAUAGAUCAAUGAAAUAAAUUUGCUAAUAUUUUGUAAAGGCUUUUGUAUUUAUGUUCUUGAAGGAUAUUGGUCUUUUAUUUGGUUUUUAUUCAAGGUUAAUGCUAAUCUCAUAAAAUGGGUUCUUGCAAUAUUGGGAAGAGUUUUGUA